rnacentral:rRNA from 1 species
UGGGGAAUAUUUGCACAAUGGGGGGCAACCCUGAUCCAGCCAUGCCGGGUGUGUGAAGAAGGCCCUCGGGUUGUAAAGCACUUUCAGCCGGGGAAGAACGCCUAUUCGGUCAAUACCCGAAGAGGCCAUGACAUCUCCCUGCACAAGAAGCACCGGCUAACUCCGUGC